AGCAGUUCUGUGAGCUGGCGGAGCCUGGCGUCUGCCUGCGUGACGUGGAGGAACCGCAGGCGGCGACCGCGGACAGAAUGUCCUCGUGAGUCCUCAUACAACCUAUCCUUAGGCGGUAACAGGCUGCAGCUGUUGAAGUCUAAUUUCACUCUAUUGAUUGCCAUGUAAGACAUGCCUGUGCCUGCUUCCCCUUCGCCUUCUGCCAUGACUGAAAGUUUCCUAAGGCCUCCUCAGAAGCCGAGCAGAUGCCAGCAUCACGCUUCCUCUAAAGCCUGUGGAACCAUGAGCCAAGGUUUUUCAUGGGCCGAUCUGCUGAAUUCAGCCUAGGAGCUGAGGCCAACAUCUGAGUCUCUUCAGCAUACAAGUUUGAAAGAAGUCCUAGCAACUUCAAGCUCAGAACUACGGGUGGCAGCAGCUCCUUCUUGACGUCGAAGCCUCCCAUUCCAGAGAGAGUCAAGGCCCGGAUCAAAAAAAGCCCACAAGCACCGAUGACUGAGCUGCUGACUACCCCAGCAUCUCCAACUCAACCUCCUCUUUCUGCCUCUACCCAAAUUUUAAAACUUUUAAACAUGGGUUUAAAAAUGGUAAUGAGUAAAGUUGCAUCCAAGUGUAUCAAAUAAAAUUAAAUAUCCAUAAAUGCUGUAAUAAUUCCUGCUUUGAUGCUGAACUAAAGAAUUUUCUGCUGGGCGCGGUGGCUCAUGCCUGUAAUCCCAGCACUUUGGGAGGCCAAGGCAGGUGGAUCACGAGGUCAGGAGUUCAAGACCUGCCUGGCCAACGUGGUGAAACCCCAUCUCUACUAAAAAUACAAAAAUUAGCUGGGCAUGGUGGCAGGCAUCUGUAGUCCCAGCUACUCAGGAGGCUGAGGCAGAAGAAUCACUUGAACCCGGGAGACAGAGGUUGUAGUGAGCCAAGAUGGCACCACUGCACUCCAUCCUGGGCAACAAGCGAGAUUCCAUCUCAAAAGAAAAAAAAAAAGAAUUUUCUGUUUAUAUUACAUAUAGUCUCACUUCAUAUUUCAUUUCUCUCACCUCUGAUACCUGGAGUCCUUGGCUAGUACUGAAAUUGAGUAAAGUCAUUCUCAUGAGUUUUAGUAAAGUCAAAACUCAAAACUCAUGAAGUUGGCAAAACUCAAAGAAUGCUUUGGUCUAGUUUGACAUUGGCCAGUAUGUUUUUCAUAUCCAGUCAUUCCUUUUUUCCUGGCUGACAUCCUCACUUCCUGCCUGUGGAGGAAAAGUUAAAUAUUAAAUUUGAACUCAAUUGAAUGUGGACACAAACAAUGGUCACCAAGUCCGGGAACAGGUUGUGUGAGUCCCUUGAGGCAUUUAUCCUGCCCUGUUUCGGAGAAAUCUCUAUUUCAAACUAUUCCUAUGUGUUACUUACUGAAAAACAACAGACAAUCACAAAAACAAGUUGACCUUUUUGUGUUCCUUGAGCCCAGUCACAAAGGGCCCUCAUGACUGGGCCUCAUGCCAAACAACUUGUUACAAAAAGAGCUAGGGUCCCAGACCGCACCAAAGCCCCAUGAGACCUCUCCUCAUCUGUGCACGGACUGGUGGCCGACUCUGGAGCCCAGGCUGUUGCUUCCUGGUCUGGUGAUGAAUCCUCCAUAGUCUGGUGAGUGUAAAUAUAUAUAUACAUAUAUAUCUUUUCCCGUCUCCCCUUCCCAUUGCAAUUUUCUUAUUAUAUCAUUUGCUUAUUAUAUGUGUAUUGCGAUAUACUUGGG
rnacentral:lncRNA from 1 species